GCAAAAAGCAAACUGAAGAAGUUGCUUGCAGUUAAAGAAUGUACAAGGUCCCUAGAGUAUAGGAUGACCUUUAAGUUACGCCAGAAGACUGAAUUUCAAAAUAUGGCGCAGAUUUAGCAUCUGUCAUAUGAAGUAUUGCUAUGAGCUCAGGACUGUGAAAAACCGAAGGUCAGGAACAGACAGCCUUUUUGGGUCAGUAGUCAGUGAACUGCCCUUUCUGAACCAAAUUCUUGGAGGAUGACAAAUUGCAAACAUACUGCACACAACAAAAAUAAUUUGUCAAGCUAAAUAUUGUUGCCAGCAUUUUAUUGUCUGAGACAUUUCAAGGGCAUUUCCAGAUAACUUCAGUGUUUAUCAGACACUUAUGUUGCAGCUCUUACAACAUCUCUCAUGAGUCGUCUGUAAUCCAGUUUUUGUUGCCACUAGUGUUUUCUUCCUGAAUAUCCUUAAAUGUUGUGUGAGCUGCUAAAAAAACAAAAAACACCCUCUGGUAUUCAUUGCAGAAAGCAAUAUACUAUCCUGUCACCAUCCAAGGUGCACUUAAGCAUCUGGUCCCACUGACCUCACUCUGAUGUUGUCAUUCUGACUGUACGUAUACAUUGUUGUUCAUGGAAGGCUCAGAGCAGCUGGCUUACAUGUGGUUCUCAGUACUUUACCAUCCAGCCAGUAUUUUACACUCCUUGGAAAAAAUUCAG